AAGCUGUCUGUACAUGGGUCACUUUUUAAGGGAAUUUCUAGCUUUUGUCUCUCAGACUCUUCCUGUUCUGAGCCACAAAUCCAGACCAAACAGAACUGGGACUCUGGAAAAAGGAGGCUAGUGACACAGCCCCAGGGAGCGUGGAGCAAAUGCUCAGUCACAGGUGAGUCUCAAACCAUACACCCUGAAGAUAAAGACACCUUGGCUGUGAGAACAGGUGGAGGCAGGUGCUGCAACAGUGAUUGACUGGAGGACAGAUGUGGAACAUGGAGCUGGCGGUGCCAUGUGGAAGCCACUCAUAGCCCUCACUGGCUCUAGAUUCAGAGCAGGAUGGACAGGUGGAAAGUUCAUCUGGCCCUCAAGUCUUCAAAUGACUCUGCUUGAUCCUGCCUGCCCACCAAGACAACAGCUGUCCAUGAGGGCAAACCACUUGUGAUCCAGUCAAGAGAAAUGAAGGCUCACAUUGGCAACCUCAGAGCUUUCCAGUUCAUAUUGUGAACUUCACUGCCUUCCUGAAUGGUGGCUGUAUUGUUUUGUUUGCUGACUUGUUCCAUGGGUCUCCUAUGCAACGAGGGUUUUUUCCUUUUUUUUUUUUCUUUUUCUUUUUCUUAGCCUUCUUUAGCACUUUUUAGCCUCCUGAGUGGUGAAGCUUACAGGUGUGAGCCACCACACCUGACUACAGUGCAUUCCUCUUCCUCCUCCAACCUCUCCUCCUCCUCCUCCUCCAACUCCUUUUCCUCCUCUAACUCCUCCUCUUCCUCUGAUAUAACAAAAUAAAAUAAGAUAAAACAAAAAGCUAUCACAUCUGAGUUAUAUAAGACAAACCAACAGCCUAAGAGAAGGCGCAAGAAUCAGAGACUCAUUUGUUUGCACACUUAGGAGUACCAUAAAGAACGCUGAUCUGGAAACCAUAAUGUAUACUAAGAGGACCUGGCACAGACACAUGCAGGCCCUGUGCGUGCUACCUCAGUCUCGGUUCAUAUGAGCUUCACUUGCAUUGACAAGGCCUUGUUUUUUGGGUAUCUUUCAUUCCCUCUGGG
ensembl:lncRNA